GGAGGGAUYAUUACCGAGUUUACAACUCCCAAACCCCUGUGAACAUACCUUAUGUUGCCUCGGCGGAUCAGCCCGCGCCCCGUAAAAAGGGACGGCCCGCCGCAGGAACCCUAAACUCUGUUUUUAGUGGAACUUCUGAGUAUAAAAAACAAAUAAAUCAAAACUUUCAACAACGGAUCUCUUGGUUCUGGCAUCGAUGAAGAACGCAGCAAAAUGCGAUAAGUAAUGUGAAUUGCAGAAUUCAGUGAAUCAUCGAAUCUUUGAACGCACAUUGCGCCCGCCAGUAUUCUGGCGGGCAUGCCUGUUCGAGCGUCAUUUCAACCCUCAAGCCCAGCUUGGUGUUGGGAGCUGCAGUCCUGCUGCACUCCCCAAAUACAUUGGCGGUCACGUCGAGCUUCCAUAGCGUAGUAAUUUACACAUCGUUACUGGUAAUCGUCGCGGCCACGCCGUUAAACCCCAACUUCUGAAUGUUGACCUCGGAUCAGGUAGGAAUACCCGCUGAACUUAAGCAUAUCAAUAA
rnacentral:rRNA from 1 species